AAUUGCAGGUGCUCAUACAUUUGGAAGAGCUCAUUGCUCUUUAUUUGUUAGUCGAUUGUACAACUUCAGCAAUACGGGAAGUCCCGAUCCAACUCUUAACGCAACUUACUUACAACAAUUGCGCAAUAUAUGUCCCAAUGGUGGACCUGGAACUCCCCUUGCAAGUUUUGAUCCAACUACUCCUGAUAAAUUUGACAAGAACUAUUACUCUAAUCUUCAAGUGAAAAAAGGUUUGCUUCAAAGUGAUCAAGAGUUGUUCUCAACAUCUGGUGCUGAUACCAUUAGCAUUGUCAACAACUUUGCCACUGAUCAAAAAGCUUUUUUUGAGAGCUUUAAGGCUGCUAUGAUUAAAAUGGGAAAUAUUGGUGUGUUAACCGGGAACCAAGGAGAGAUUAGAAAACAAUGCAACUUUGUUAAUUCAAAAUCAGUAGAACUAGGUCUUGUCAAUGUUGCCUCAACAGAGGAGGGUAUGGUUAGCUCAAUGUAAAUGUAGUGACUGGAGCCAAAUAAUAAAUAAGCUAUAACUAGGCACAUUCAUGGUAUGUGUUACAUAUCCUUAAAAAAAAAAAAAAAAUGGUAUGUGUUACAUAGUUAUUAGGCGUUUGGUGAACAAUUUGUUUUUAUUUGGUACAAGUUUCUUUUUUUAUGUGAAGUACUCCCUCUAUUCCUUUUUAUGGGAUCUUGUAACGAAAAUCACGAGUAUUAACAAAACUUGUUGGAAUAAUAAAUUUGUCACAAAUAUGUAUGACUAUUACUAAAUUACUCUUUGUUAUAAAUAAGCAACAUGCUAUAUUAGUCUAUUAAUUCACUUAUCUAUCUUAACAUAUAUCAUAUUAUUUGUUUAAAUAUAUUCAGAAGAAAUAGUCUUUUAAACAAGAUACAAGUUAUAUCACCCUUUAGAAACCAAGAAACAUACCUAAAAAAUAUACCUACGAUAGGCUACAAAUCAAACUUAAACCUUAAAUGUUUUGACAAAUUAUAUCGGAUCUUGCAAAGCCUAACUCGACUUAACAUAUAUUUACCCCUUAUCACUAUGGAAGAUUUCAUGUGCCUGAGGUCUUCAGGUUUGAUAACAAUGUGGUUGGCUACAUGCGUGUAUAUAUGGAAAUGUUAACUUGUGUCCUUAGAUCACAUUUUUUGGAACUUAAUUAGAGUGGAAAUUUUGUCUAGGAAAUCAUGUCAAUUUAUUCUUCUAGAGAUUGAAAGUUAAUGUUUUGUAAUAAAUAUUUAUCAUUUAUGGAAUCUUUAGCUAAUAUAUAAAUGACUUUAUCGUUAAUAUAAGCGGAUGUCCAUAUAACAAUUGGGUUAAUGAGUCAUAAUAUUAGACCAUGCAUAUUAUAUUGUUUGUUCUCCAAGUUAUCUCUGUAAAUAAAACUCAAAUGUAACCUAAUUAUACACCACAAAAUAAUAAUAAUAAUAGUAACAAUAAAAUAUUUUUUCUCGGAUUAAUCGAUUUUUUGAUCGGAUACCGAGUUUUCAAAAAAGAAGAAAAAAUAAUAAUAAUAAUAAUAAUAAAAUAUUUAUCUCUCUUCUAUCCCUUCCUCCCCUUUCUUUAUUCUUGUUCUUAUUUCCUUAGUUUCAUAACAAUUAAUUUAUUGAUUUAGAAAACAAUUAUACAGAAACACUUUAAUUUAUGAGUGUGCCACAGACGCUUUCAACAUACAUGUUUGUAUAUCGGUUUUGAUGGGCUGUGUCUGACAUAAAAUUGGCGAGCUUUGUAUUUGCAUAUAAAGUGUGCCUCAUUCUUUGGGUUUUAUUUGAGUUUUUAUAUUAAUUUUUUUACCAUUCAAAUAAAAGAAGACCAAAACAACUUGGGUCAUAGUUUUAGUGCAACUUGGUGGCAUAGGAGAUACCAAUUUGCACGGAAAAGUGAUAAGUUCUGUCAAAAAAUAAUUAUUAUUUAAGUCUGGCAGGACCAGGGAGGGAUGAGAAUGAGGGAGAAAUGCUUAUUAUAGAUUAAUGAUCAAAUCAACAACGAAGAAAAGAAAAUGCUUAACAAGAUUAAUUAUUUUCUUUUUACAAACGUUCGAUUAAAUUAUUAAAAAUGUAUACGUUUGGAUCAAAAUUUUAAAAUAAUUUUUGACUGUGCAUUUUGUUAAUCAAAUUAAAUGUUUCAUUAACAUUAUCAUAUUUGUCUUUUUAUAAGAUACAAUGGAUUUCAUUGAGUGACAAUGAGCAACAUCGAUUCGUGUGGUUGGCUUUUAUGGGGUCCACUUAUACGAGUAGCACGAUAUGUAUAGUAGUACUAUUUGGACCUUGUUUUAUUCGGUCAAUUUUCACACCUCAAUGGUAAUAAUGUUCUCACACAUCAACCACAAGCCUUUUCUAGGAGCCAUUCACGACUCAUUGUCCCUUCUUUUUCUAUAAAUAAGUGCUUAUUUUAUACACAUUCUCAGUAUCACUUUCACUUUCACUUUCACAACAAACAAUGAACUCCCUUCGUGCUGUAGCAAUAGCUUUGUGCUGUAUUGUGGUUGUGCUUGGAGGGUUACCCUUCUCUUCAAAUGCACAACUUGAUCCAUCCUUUUACAGGAACACUUGUCCAAAUGUUAGUUCCAUUGUUCGUGAAGUCAUAAGAAGUGUUUCUAAGAAAGAUCCUCGUAUGCUUGGUAGUCUUGUCAGGCUUCACUUUCAUGACUGUUUUGUUCAAGUAUGUAUAAUAUUCAAUCAUUCACUAACUACAUGUUCUAUUUUGCUCAUUGCGUAUGACAUGCUAUAAAUUCUUGAAAUCUUAGUAUACCUAUAAUCCUAUAGUAGUAUGAUCUUCCCAUUUAAGUAGAAUUAGUACAUAGUAAGAUAUAAUAUAAACUAGAACAAGAUCAAAUAUAGCAAAUAAAGAAUAUGUUUAGCAUGUCCUUAUGCUGCCCCUAUAUGUUAUACAAUCCAAAAAUGAAAAAAAAAAAAAAAAUCUUAAUUUUGUGUCUUAAACAUAACUUGUGUUUAAGGGCACAAAUUAACAUUCACUCUGCUCAUUAAGAAAAUAUUAAGUAAUAUAUCUAGCAAAUGAAUUGAGUUGGAAUAGUGACUUUACUUACUUACCCGGCUGAACCAAAUUCUAAAAAUUUGAGGGUUGAAAUAAAUGAAAAAUAGAAUACUAUUAGAUAUAUUUACCCUUUUGUUUUAUUAUUAAAAUAUAAUCAUUCAUUAGUAUGUCCAAUAAUUAUAGUUUAAAGUGUAUGUCUAAUAAUUAUAGUUUAAGGUUUUUUUCCUUUUUAGUGAGAGAUUUUUUUUUUUACUCAUUUAGAAGCAAUGGAGCAAGUUUUUUUUUUCAAUUAGCAAAGACAUUGUAUAAAAAACUAUGGCAUCAACCUUUUAAAUUGUACGGUUGAAGUUAAUUUUUAUUAUGCUAUUGUUAUAAUCAUAAUGUAAAUUAUGUGAUCUAUAUACUGUAACAGGGUUGUGAUGCAUCAGUUUUACUGAACAAAACUGAUACCGUUGUGAGUGAACAAGAUGCUUUUCCAAACAGAAACUCAUUAAGAGGUUUAGAUGUUGUGAAUCAAAUCAAAACAGCUGUGGAAAAGGCUUGUCCUAACACAGUUUCUUGCGCUGAUAUUCUUGCCCUUUCUGCUGAAUUAUCAUCUACACUGGUAUAUAUAUGCCUCAAACUGUACUAUAUAUUUUUCUCAUUUACCAUUGAAUUUUCAAAUCCAAUUAUUAAUUCUGCUUAUUUGUUUUGUGAUGAAAUAAAAUAGGCAGAUGGUCCUGACUGGAAAGUUCCUUUAGGAAGAAGAGAUGGUUUAACAGCAAACCAAUUACUUGCUAAUAAAAAUCUUCCAGCUCCUUUCAAUACUACUGAUCAACUUAAAGCUGCAUUUGCUGCUCAAGGUCUCGAUACUACUGAUCUGGUUGCACUCUCGGGUAUGUAACAUUUUUAAAGUUUUUGUUUAAAAAAAUCUAAUUGGUCGUUACAAUGAUGACGCCAAUGUUACAAUAAUAAUAUAUUUGAUUAUUGAUUUAUAUAUGUUUCUCGAUUUCAGGUGCUCAUACAUUUGGAAGAGCUCAUUGCUCUUUAUUUGUUAGCCGAUUGUACAACUUCAACGGUACAGGAAGUCCGGAUCCAACUCUUAACACAACUUACUUACAACAAUUGCGCACAAUAUGUCCCAAUGGUGGACCUGGCACGAACCUUACCAAUUUCGAUCCAACGACUCCUGAUAAAUUUGACAAGAACUAUUACUCUAAUCUUCAAGUGAAAAAGGGUUUGCUCCAAAGUGAUCAAGAGUUGUUCUCAACAUCUGGUUCAGAUACCAUUAGCAUUGUCAACAAAUUUGCAACCGAUCAAAAAGCUUUUUUUGAGAGCUUUAAGGCUGCUAUGAUCAAAAUGGGAAAUAUUGGUGUGUUAACUGGGAAACAAGGAGAGAUUAGAAAACAAUGCAACUUUGUUAAUUCAAAAUCAGUAGAACUAGGUUUAGUCAAUGUGGCUUCCACAGAUUCAUCAGAUGAGGGUAUGGUUAGCUCAAUGUAAUUGUAGUGAUUGGAAGCAACUAAUAAAUUAAUAAGCUAUAACUAGGCACAUUCAUGGUAUGUGUGAGAUAGUUGUUAGAUGCUUUGUGAGCUAAAAUCGUUUGUAUUUCAUUUGAAGUGUUUCUUUGAGUUGUGAGUUGAUAAUGAUCAUUUUCUGUUUCUUAUUUCGGACUUGCUUUAGCAUUAAUUUUACAAGUUUUAAGUUAAUGGAGUGCAAGACAAAGACAUCUCUUACACUAGAUUUAUCCACUUUGUAUGAUAUUUCCCAUUAAUUUACAUGCUAAUUUUGUAUAAAAAAGUAAUAAGCAAGUAUCUCCAUGGUAUAUAUUCGUAUAUUUUCUAUUACUCAACAAACUUAGUAAAAAAAAAAAAAGGGUCAUUUCAUUUAUCACCGGAUGAUAUUGAACAAUUUAUCAAUUUUACGACUUUAAAAAUCAGUGAUUUGUUCUUACUUUAGGCUCGGUCAUACAAAUACUGAUGUUAUUACCUCUUUUUUUUUUUUUUUUUUUUUUUUUUUGGAAAAAUGAUGUUAUUACCUCUUUUGAAUUAAGUUAUGGAUUCUCCAAUCCACAUAAUUUUAACACAUGACCCCAUAUAUAUGCGCGGCUAAUUUAAUCUCAUCUAAAAAGCAUGAAGAAAUAAGUUAGUAAACAUACCCUUCCAUUUACUUUGACAAAAAAACUCAAGUCUUUCUUUUCAAAUAUGGUGACAUUGGUGGUAUAUACUUAAAUCCCUUAAAAAUUUGAUUUAAGUAAUGUUUAUUUAGUAAAUAUACUUUAUUAAGCAGACUCUCUUUUCAUAAGGUUCAUAAAUUUUAAUAAUUAAAAUAUUAUUUCAUUGUUUAAAUAUGGUGAUGUAUAAUUAUUGAUUGAAAUCUAAUUUAGAAAAUUUUGUUUGAGAGAUGUUAAAUUGAAGAGACGAGUAAGACUUGAUAAGUCACAAACCCAAAUCAUUUUGAUUUGGGAACACACACAUAAGUAAGGAAGAUAAAAGAAAAUAAAUUAAAAACUCCAAAUUGGAUAUGUAUGUUUAAGUGCGUGCGCGUCCAAAUUAUUUUUGUCUAAGAUUAUGUAUUGUGCCCAAACCAAUUAAUGUUGCUCUAAAGAGAUUGAAGGUUUAUUUAUUCCUAUAAGAUUAACUUACUGUUGUGAAUUCGAACUCAAAACUCAUACCAAUACAAACUAUGAUGUGUGGAGCAAAUAAAAGUAGUAAUCAAUAUCAAAGUGAACACAAGCAACAACAAUAAUAACAACAGCUAGAUCUAAUCUAGUAAUCAAAGUGAAAAGCUCAAAACCACAAACAAAAGAUAAAGAGAGAAGAGAAACAAACACACCAAAGAUUGUUGACCCAGUUCGGUCCAACUUGACCUAAUCUGGGGGAGAGGUUGAUCUCUCCAAUCCACUAUCUAAGAGUUCUUACAAAGUGAUACAAAUGGGUUACAAGAAAUUAGCUUAAACAAGCUCACAAAGAACAAAUCUAAUUUCUACCCAUUUUCCCAAUUUCACCAAUGAACAAGAGACUCAAUGAUUUUCACUCACCCAAGGUGUUUACAAUGUUUCCCAACCCAAGAGAACUCUAAUCAAAGACCCUCAACCCUAAAGUUACCUCCUUUGAUUUCCCAAGUUUUCCUCUCUUGAAGUUCUCUCUCUUUCCUCCUUCAAAAAUGAGCUGAAACACUUAAAGAGUACACAGUGAUAGACAAAAUCGCGAUGCGCCAGUGAAAAUCGCGCCACAGUUGAAGCGUGCGACCCAAGGUACGACAACCUUAUCCACAAACCGCGUCACGCCUGCACCAAUCGCACCAUGAUUUGCCUUCAGCAGAAACCAUCCAUUCUGCCACCAAAAUCGCGCCACGCCUCCCAAAAUCACGGCACGAUUUUGGCAUUUCACAACAUCACAAUUUGAAGACAAUUUCAACACUUGUCUUUAGAGCACAAAUUAAGAAAUCAAAGAUGAAAAUAUUUUGUUGGAAAUUGUGCAUUCAAUAUUCUAGAAAUUUAAAAUCUUAUCUUCUCAAGACAUAAUUUACUACUAUAAUUUAAUUUCAUUUUUAAAUUCUUAACUUGUAUCCUAAAGGUACAAGUUAACACUACCCAAAUUAUAAAUGAAUGAUGUAGUAUUUUUGGAACCACUUAAAUGACAAGUCAACACUCCCAAAAUUACCCGAUUUUCAUUUGCUUUUUAAAAAACUGAAAUAUGAGGAAGGUCAUUGUGAGAAUGAUAUGAUUGAUAAACAAAAUCUACUUUGUUUAUAAAUGCUAUUACCUAACAUAUACAGGUGGCGAUAAUCAUUGUAGCAUAAGAUAAAGCAAAACAGGUAAACUAAUAAUGGCAAGAGUAAUGAUAUUUGAACAAAUUUUUUGGUACAGCUUUUGGGACAAUCUUGUUGUGUUCUCUUUUUAUUGGUCAAAAACAAUAUAGAGAGAAAAAGGAAGAGAAAAAAUAAGAAGAUAAUAUGAGUAUGAGAGAGAAGGUUGUACAAAAAUUAUAUAAAAAUGAUUGUACAAAUAUCAUUUCUCUAAUGACAAAGAUAGAUAAGUCCACAAAAAAAUGUCAUAAUGAAGGUGUCGAAUGUCGAAAAAGAAAACUCUAUGAAGACCCAACAAGUUGGGGCGAGCUUUAAUGCAAUACUUCCAGCUAAGGCGGAUCCAUAAAUGUGCAAGAUAGGGCUUCAAAAAAUAUAAAUAAUCGGGGCCGGCUAUAACUUGUGCAAGCAUAAAAACUACAUAUUAGUUCUAAUUUGUUGCUGUUCAACCGUCUCAAAGUAAUACUCUCGUCAUUUCAGAAUAAAUGUUGUUUAUAAAAGUUUUGUAUUAAAAUAAUCGCUGUUAUGCUUUUUCAAUGCAACUUUAAUAAAUUUAUUCUAAGUUUGCUCUCACAUUAAUCUUAUAUGCACAACUUUUAAAUCAUUAUAUUUCACUUUGACAUUAAUGAUUUAAAUGUUAUAUUACUCUUAUAUUAAUCUUAUAAGCAAAAAAUUAUGCAUUUUAGAUUCAUUCAAUUAAUGAUGUAUGUGGGCUUUAUUAUAGACCACAUACAUCAUUCAGUUUAACAUAGUCGAGUAUAAACAAAAACUUGGUUGAGUUUUCUCGAGUUUAACACGUGUUAACUCGGUCAAACUCGCCAAACAUCUCGAUUUUACCAGAAACCGAGUUUACCUCCGAGUUAACACGAUUUCAGCACCUAAAAACGUAAAUUCGUCCGAGUUUACGAGUUAACACUCAAUUUGUGGAACAUUAUCCUCAAUCCCACGUAUUACUCAACUGACUUGAGAAAAAAAAAUGCACUCUUCCCGAUUCAAUUGUCUUAGCCUUCGCUUAAAUUUUCACCAACUAGAAGGACCCUCGCCUAAUCACACAUCAGCCGAUGUCGAUUAAUAAAGUAAUUAGUUUUAGGUUAGGUUUAAACAUAGUCAUAUGCCAAUCUAGCAAGUUAAUUUUCAUAUAUCAAAAUAGUUUUUGGAAAAAUAUACAUUGUUGACAAAUUUCAUAUACACAUAAUUUUUCUUAAUUAUUGUGUAUUAGUGAAGAGAGUUUUUCAUAUAUGGAUAUAUGUGGUAGCGUGUUUGUCCGUUUCAUUAAAAAGUCACCAUUCCCUUUACUAAUUACUUUCCAUUUUAGGAGAAACACUCUUUUAUGGGUCCCACCAAAAACUCUUUUCUUCUCUAUUUAUUUGGUAACCAAACAAAGGAAAUAGUAUACUCCUCUUUUAUCUCCAACCUCUCUCUUUCGUUCUAGUUUCCUAUGGAGCUAAACAAAUAUGCUAAAGUUUGAGGGAGUAAAUGCCAGCAAAUUGAGAUGAAGAUAUUUUGAAUUCUGAACAAAUUCGUGACGACCACGUUCCCGUAUAGACAGAGCAAUUUGAUUUAGGUAAAAAUACAACAAAGGAUUUCAACAUUGAAAAUAAGAAACUUCGAUGGUGAUUUGCCAUCUUUGUGGUCCACACAUGAGAGACGUGACACUAUAGCUAGUACAACUAUUUGUAUUUACACGUUACUCCCUCCGUCCCAAAUUGUACGACGUUUUCAGACAUAUUAAAAAAUACAAUUAAUAUUGUCUGGAAAAGAGAUAUUAUGAGUUGUUUUACAAAAUUGUCCUUAAUAAAUAAUAUGGGAAAGAUAAAUGAAAGAAUUGAAAGAAGAGAGGGUAAUAAAUAAUUAAGAUUAUAACAGAAAAAGUAACAUUAAUGUUGUAUUGGUAUUGUAAAGUGACAUAUAAUUUAAGUUAAAUUUUUUUCCCUAAAGCGACAUACAAUUUGGGACGGAGGGAGUAGUUUUUAGGUCAAUAGUUACACCUUAAACCCUUAAUAAUUGCUAGGCAAUGUUCUCACCGUUCAUUGCACAACAAGACUUUAUUACUAGCCAUUAUAUUUGUAUGUCUAUAAAUAAAUGCUCACAAUAAAUUAUAAGCACAUUCUCACUCUUCAAAACAAUGAACUCCUUAGCAACUUCUAUGUGGUGUGUUGUGCUUUUGGUUGUGCUUGGAGGACUACCCUUUUCCUCAGAUGCACAACUUAGUCCCACUUUUUACAGCAAAACUUGUCCAACUGUUAGUUCCAUUGUUAGCAAUGUAUUAACAAAUGUUUCUAAGACAGAUCAACGCAUGCUUGCUAGCCUCGUCAGGCUUCACUUUCAUGACUGUUUUGUUUUGGUAUGUCUUUAGGUGACUACUUUAUAUUUCUAAUAUUAUCUUUAGAUUUAUAAAUAUUAGUUUAAAAUAUAUUAUAAUACAAUAUGGUUAGUUCGAUCCAUGCGCAACUCCUAUAUAUUAUACAACUAAAAAUGGUAAAUAAUUGUCUACUACAACUGAUCAACAGACGUUUCCUAAAAAAAACGUCAAUUAGAUAUAUCUUCAUUUGUCCCUUUGAAAUUAACUGUCUUUUGAUCGAACUUUUAUUAUAAUGUCCCUUUUACAAAAUAGAAGGAUUAGAACAAAGAAACAAUAGAAAAAUAAUUCUUAAACACCUAAAACCAUUCUACCAUUAAAGAAAGAAGAAAUAAAUGGAAAUAAUAUAUGUGAUAGGUUGUUGAUAUAAUAGGAAGAGAGAGAUGAAGAGAAAAUAAAUGUAGAAGUAGAAUGUACGUAAGAAAAGUAAGAGAGAUGCAAAUAGGGUUCUAAUAAUUGUCUUGCACUUCUUUUCUUUAUAUUUUAUAAAAUUAUGCAUUAACUAGUAUUUUCUAAAAAUUGUAGGCCAAGUAUAUGAAUCAACUUUCUUUUUUAAGUUUUUAACUUUCAAGUAAAUUUUUAAUAUGCUUUUUUACCAUAUGUUCUUUAAUUUAUGCGUCAAAAAAUAAUGUGAUGCAUAAUUUUCACAGGGAUGUGAUGCCUCGGUUUUGUUGAACAAUACUGCUACGAUCGUAAGCGAACAACAAGCUUUUCCAAAUAACAACUCUUUAAGAGGUUUGGAUGUUGUAAAUCAGAUCAAAACUGCUAUAGAAAGUGCUUGUCCUAACACAGUUUCUUGUGCUGAUAUUCUUGCUCUUGCUGCUCAAGCAUCCUCUGUUCUGGUACAUAUGCCCUAAUUCUAAAUAUAUUUCUGUAAUUUAAUGCCUCGUUGAUCAUUAAAUUUCAAAUGCAAUAUUUAAAUGAUUCUAUUUCUGUUCUGAGUAUAUAAUACUAUAAUAUAUGCAUUUGAUAAUGGUUGCAAUCCAACAAAAAUGAUCAUAUAGUUAAUUAAGGUAGCGGCGCCGUCUGUAUUUUGUUUUCAGUUUUUGCCGCGAGUUUUUAUGCGCCUUGCAUUUACUCGACGUGAAUAAAUUUUCCGUUUCAAAAAAAAAAGUUAAUUAAGGUAGCUUCAAAAUCUAGGGUUAUUUUUAUAAUGAUUAAAUAAAAAAACCAUUUCAAGAAGUUAAUCAUCUAUGAAAAUUAAAUACUACAUCACAAGGCUAAGAGUAACACUUAUUUUACCUAUGAUGAAAUAAUACAGGCACAAGGUCCUAGUUGGACAGUUCCUUUAGGAAGAAGGGAUGGUUUAACUGCAAACCGGACACUUGCAAAUCAAAAUCUUCCGGCCCCAUUCAAUACCUUGGUUCAACUUAAAGCUGCAUUUACUGCCCAAGGCCUGAAUACUACUGAUCUAGUUGCACUCUCGGGUUUGUGCUCAUUUUAGCGAUGAUGUUGACGUUACAUAAAAUAAAAAUUAUAUAUAUGAUUAUUGAUUUAUAUAUGUUUCUCGUUUUCAGGUGCUCAUACGUUUGGAAGAGCUCAUUGCGCACAAUUUGUUGGUCGAUUGUACAACUUCAGCAGUACUGGAAGUCCGGAUCCAACUCUUAACACAACUUACUUACAACAAUUGCGCACAAUAUGUCCCAAUGGUGGACCUGGCACGAACCUUACCAAUUUCGAUCCAACGACUCCUGAUAAAUUUGACAAGAACUAUUACUCCAAUCUUCAAGUGAAAAAGGGCUUGCUCCAAAGUGAUCAAGAGUUGUUCUCAACAUCCGGUGCAGAUACCAUUAGCAUUGUCAACAAAUUCAGCACCGAUCAAAACGCUUUCUUUGAGAGCUUUAAGGCUGCA
rnacentral:lncRNA from 1 species